CUCCUGACCUCAAGUGAUCCGCCACCUCGGCCUCCAAAGUGCUGGGAUUACAGAAGUGAGCCACCGCGUCCGGCCAAUGAAGGAGUUUUCUAGCUUGUGUCCACAUGAAAGGGGGCAGAAGGAGAAAGAGGGCAGAGGGGAGAUCCUGGUGUCUUGGAGGACAUUUGUAGAUGUGCAUUUGGUAGAUAUGUUUUCACCAGUGACUGUGACACAGAAUGGGCAAAGGCAAUGGACUUCAACAAGGGGAGAAAGGAGAACUGCCGCUCAUGGACUCUCCUAUUUCCUUUUUCUCUCAGGACUUGCAUAGAACAAGAACUUGAAGGGUCUGAGGUCUAGGACAAGAAAGUGGCCCAGAGCCAGCGUCGAAGGAGAAUUGCAAACUGCCCAGGACAGGAUGAGGGUCGGGAGAGAAUUUCAGGCCUGGGUUUCUGGGCAGGAGAGAGAUGCCUAUAUGUCUAAAGAGGGGAGAGGUUUGUAUCCUGAAUCAGAUGGCAGAAGAAAAUGUUCUUUUUGUUAGGCCAUAGACUGGCCCUGACCAAGGGCUUGGCAUGUAUAUUAGGGUACUGUGGGAUGUGGUGGCAGAGGGGAAGGCUGCGGAGGAUAAUGGUAGGGUAUUAAUUACAAAAUUGUAUGCUGCUUUCCAGAGAGGUUCAAAAAUGUAUGGGAAGUGGGAAGGGAAGGGGUGUUACAAGGCAGUGAAUGAUGAAACAAACAUAAUCAGCAGCUUGAACAAGGCAUUUGGAGUUUUCUGGUUUCCUAUGAGGUUCAUCCAUUGCCCUGAAAAGGGUGGCGGUUUUACAAGGAGCCUGGGGCUCCCGCAUUGCUUCUAAGCUAACCUCUACAGCUGCAGCUGAGAAGUGCAUCUUGAAGGGUGUGUAGAUAUGCUGCUCUCCUCUCUAUUAUUUGCUCUUGAAGAGACAACAGAACAGCCUCUUGGCCCUUGGAACUCCAAGUUUGCAUGGAGCUGCCAAAGAAGAUUCAGGAUGAAAGAGAGGUGCAUUAGCUACAAAACUCUAUAAACCAGGCUUAUUGCUCAGCACUUGGGGAUGGAGGACCCAAGUCUUAGUACGUCCUCAAUGGGAAAGUGGGGUGCACUCUGGUUACCCUGCCUAUAGCAGUGUCUUCUGUAGCCUUUGGGAGCCAAUGGGCCUGACAACUGAGCUCAGGACUCAGUGGACAUGUGACCAGAUAGGAAACAACUCUCCACGCCCGGGGAACAGAAACAGAAGCCGGAGAGAAGGGACUGAAAUGCAUCCUGCUGAUCUUACUCUGGUCUUGUCCCUUCACUCACUCCUGUGGAUGGGGAUUGGCUUUUCUUAAGCCCAAGACACUUACAGGAAAACAGAAAGCCCUUGAGAGAAUUCCUUUGCAUGGGAAGGAUUUUAAAGCAUCACCCACACAUACCUGCCUCCAAAGGUGGUAUUCAAAAUACUUAGCAACCAGCUAGGCGCCGUGGCUCAUGCCUGGAAUCCCAACAGUUUGGGAGGCUGAGGCAGGUGGAUUGCUUGAGCCCAGGCGUUCAAGACCAGCUUGGCCAAUAUGGCAAAACCCUAUCUCUCCAAAAAUAAAUACAAAAAUUAGCUGGACCUGUAGUCCCAGCUACUCGGAAGGCUGAGGAAGGAGAAUCGCUUGAGCUUGGGAGGUGGAGGUUACAGUGAGCUGAGAUCACACCACUGCACUCCAGCCUGGGCGACAGAGCGAGACCCUGUCACAAACAAGCCCCAAAUACUAGCAACUGAUACAGCAUCGGCCCUGGUACCAGUUAGACAGACACCCAGCCCCUCAUAACCGGUGCUGGUGCGACCGCAGUGCAGCGGCUCAGUAUUAUGCCUGCUUGACCGUAGGCACUUCGUAGCUUCUCCUUCUCACUCCUAGCGUGAAAAAUGGAAGUGGACAUUUGGCGAAAUGCCUUGCCAGGAUUUGAGCAACGUUGUGAUUCUCUAGAGACCUGAAGGAAAGAGCUGGCAGCCUGAGGCUUUGGGGACCCUCUUGAAGAUGGGUCCUCUCAUGCCAUGUGAGCUGAAAGAUCUUGGAAGAAAGGACAGUAUGCUCUGGGACCUAAAACGUCUUUCUCCUUUUUUUCUCUGGAUCACAGUCACGCUAUCCACCAGCCAUCCCACACUCCAAGCUCCACUAGGAACCGAUAUGCACCUCAGGUCUGGAGUGCCUGCAUUCCUGAUCGACCGUGUUCAAGAGACUGAUUGCACUGGAUGAGACUCCCUAAAAAACAGUGGAGAGCUUUAUCCCCGCCUCCAAGCCGACCUGCACUUCAAUAUUCCACAGACUCAAGAUGGAUCAGUUUUCUCCCUUUUCUACCACAUCCAAGGGUCGGCCGUGCUCCAGGGCUUCUACUCUCUCUUCCAUCUUUGCAUAUCUGGAUGUGGCCUUUUCCUCCUCACCCAGCACAUGUCCUCCCUGACAUUUGCAGGGCAGAGGAGGUGGCCAGUAAGGCGUCUCUCCCUUCGAUUGCCAACCUCCAUCUUCAGCUCAGAGUCCCUCAACCCGGAUCUAUCUAUAGAUGGAUGCAACUGCAAAUAGCGAGGUAUGUUGAAGAUGAAGGUAUUUGCAACAGAUGAGGGAUUGUCUUGCAGGCCGGGGCCCCCGAGAGUCGCAGAGGGCGUCAGGUCAUUUUGUAACUCGAUGGUUCACAUGUGCCAGAAAUAUUUGCACUCCGAUACGGCUCCCUCUGGUUUCAGAUUUAGGAACAUUCCAAUGGUUCAGGAAUCCGAAGGCUCCAGCAGACAACAUUUAUAGUCACUUGGGGAACCUCUGCUUUAAAUAUUCUCAAAGGACGGGAGGCAAGAAGGCAUUGUGCAGCAAGGAGCUGCUUCAGCUUGGCUGCCUGACUCCACGGGAUUAUCACUCCUCUUCUACUGCAGGGAGGAAGAGAGCACAAAGCCUGGAGGUCACGGUGCC
ensembl:lncRNA